GCCCCCAUCGUCUAGUGGCCCAGGACGCCUGCCUCUCACGUAGGUAACAGGGGUUCGAAUCCCCUUGGGGGCGCCA
rnacentral:tRNA from 1 species